CUGCGGCUUGUUGUGCGUUUGCGGCCCUGGCCACCGUGGUGCCGCUAACCUUCUGGCCGCAUGGCCCGGGGCCGCAGUUCGUUGCGGCCCACCUACCGCGGGGGCCUCCACUGCACGCCCACUGCUGUCCGGCCGCUGCGUCCCUGGGUUCCUCCGUCUCCUCCCUAUGGGGCUCUGAGCUGACCGGCCAGACUACAGCAAUGAAUUGGUGGCCUAGCAACCUCCAAAGAUGGAAAAACCGAAGUUCGACGACACAAAGCUGUUGCCAAAACAAAGGGGAUUUGGCGAUGGAGGCCUUGUUGGAAGGAAUACAAACUCGGGGGCAUAGUGGGGGAUUUUUGACAUCCUGUGAAGCAGAAUUGCAAGAGCUCAUGAAACAGAUCGAUAUAAUGGUGGCUCAUAAGAAAUCUGAGUGGGAGGGGCAGACACAUGCUCUGGAGACUUGUUUGGACAUGCGCGAUCGGGAGCUGAAGGCUCUGAGGAGUCAGCUGGACAUGAAGCACAAAGAGGUUGGAAUAUUGCAUCAGCAGAUAGAAGAACAAGAAAAAACCAAGCAAGAAAUGGCCCUGGAGUACAAGGAGGAGUUAAUGAAGCUGCAGGAGGAAUUAAGCAGACUGAAGAGAAGCUAUGAAAAACUGCAGAAAAAGCAACUAAGAGAAUUUAGAGGAAAUACCAAAAGUCUGCGAGAGGAUCGGUCUGAGAUUGAGAGGCUGACUGGAAAAAUAGAGGAAUUCCGACAGAAGUCUUUGGACUGGGAGAAGCAGCGUCUGAUUUAUCAGCAACAGGUAUCUUCUCUGGAAGCACAGAGGAAGGCUCUAGCUGAGCAGUCAGAGAUAAUCCAGGCUCUGCAGGAAGAACAGAAAGAGUUGAAGGCAAGUCUUCAAGCUCAAGAAAGCUUCAUUCUUGAUGCAAAAAUGCAGGAGAAACUGCAAACGAAACUAAAGGCAGUUGACACUAAGCACUCAGUAGAAAGGUCUCUGGAGGACUGUCAGGUGGAGAGGAAGUACAGCUCUUCAGGGCAGGGAGUCUUGGAUAAUGUGCUCUCCCAGUUGGACAUAAGCCACAGCAGUGAAGAACUCCUACAGGCAGAGGUGACUCGUCUUGAAGGCAGUUUGGAAUCUGUGAGUACAACAUGUAAACAGCUGAGCCAAGAACUGAUGGAGAAGUACGAAGAGCUGAAGAGGAUGGAAGGGCAUAACAAUGAGUACCGGACAGAGAUAAAGAAGCUGAAGGAACAGAUUCUGCAGGCUGAUCAGACUUACAGCUCUGCCCUGGAAGGAAUGAAGACGGAAAUCUCCCAGCUAACCCGGGAGUUGCACCAGCGAGAUAUCACUAUUGCUUCUGCCAAGUGUUCCUCCUCAGACAUGGAAAGGCAGCUGAAGGCAGAGAUGCAGAAGGCGGAAGAAAAGGCCGUAGAGCAUAAGAUUAGGCAAAAGAGAUUUCACUAGCAGACCUUCAGGAGAAUUAUAUUGAGGCAUUAAAUAAAUUAGUGUCUGAAAAUCAACAAC
rnacentral:lncRNA from 1 species